rnacentral:pre_miRNA from 1 species
UCGGUUUGUGACCGACACUAACGGGUAGUUAAAGGGCAUCCUCGCAUUCUGCUGGCUUACUCGUUUUUGCGAUCACAAAUUC